rnacentral:rRNA from 1 species
CCCUUAGAUGUCCUGGGCCGCACGCGCGCUACACUGAGUGUCUGAGAUACGAGUCUGCCUGGUCCGGCAAGGUCUAGGUAAUCGCUAAAAGACACAUCAUGCUUGGGAUAGAUUAUUGCAAAUAUUAAUCUUGAACGAGGAAUUCCUAGUAAGCGCAAGUCAACAGCGUGCGUUGAUUACGUCCCUGCCCUUUGUACACACCGCCCGUCGCUACUACUGAUUGGAUGUUUAAGCGAGGUUCUCGAACUGCUAGCGACUUAGCUUCGGUGAGGUCGCAGUGUGGGAAGUGAACCUAGCUUUGGUGUCUAGAGGAAGUAAAAGUCGUAACA